GUUGAUUUUACUUUUCUAAACUCAAUGACCAAAUUUCUUCAUCCACUGAGCAAUGUAUCAGAUUUUCUUAGAAAUCCUAUAUUUCUGCUUGACCCUCUUGUGCUUCUGCCAUCAGAUGAGAAGCACACGCAUUACGUAAUCCGUAGAAUCAAGGUGUGUGGAUGAGAGACAUGUGGUGCUAACCAGACCCAGCCUACAGCUUAUAAUGAAGUCUAUCUCUGCUCAGUCUAGAACAGCCACACCUCAGCCAACCUUAAGAC
ensembl:lincRNA